GUCCGAGAUGGCGGAGUGGUUAACGCACCUACCUAGUAAGAAGGAGAUCCCGGGUUCGAAUCCCGCUCUGGAACA